rnacentral:lncRNA from 10 species
CUUCAGACUUCCCUGCAGUUUUCUCACAGCCCCUAGGAAAAAGAUGAGAAUGCAAAGGUUGGGCUGCAGAGAACAGAUGACUUCCCUAAGAUUGAUGGUCAGUGCGUGGUGACCUGGGACUAGAAGACACAUCACCGUACCCACAGGUGACAGGGAGAAGUAUUUAUCAAGAACACCCAUUCUCUUAGCCCUCAGAAAAUAUCACAAAUGCACCACCACUGAAAGGUGACAGCUUUUAUAGAUUCAUAGUGACUUACAACCUUCUACUUGGCUGCAGGAAGGCAAAAAUAAUCAAUUUUCAUAUAUCAUGGAGCAGAGGAGAAGGGAAAAUGAGAAGCAACCUGAGAAAUGCCUCUGCUAAAAUAUGUGAAGACCCCAGCUAAUACCCCAUCAAUUCCAUGGUCAAAAAGUACAAAGGUUCUAGAGAAAUAGGCUUGAACAAAGCAACCCAAUCAAGGUGAGAGGACACAGAGAAACAAGGUCUUCAGGCUAGCUUAGCUAUUGAAAUGAUCUAAUUAAAUAAAACAAUUAGAGAUUGGCUUCUGUCCUACGAGUGGUACCCCCCUCCCCAUGAAAUCACAAGGAAUGGCAAGAAUCCAAGAUUGCUUAAGUGAUUUCUUAUUUAACUCAGUCCUUUAAGUGGCUUAGCAAGUGUUAAAUUUAAAUGUGUGUAAAGAUCAUUACCCCCCACACCCAAAAAAAAAAUCAGGUGAAAAUUGUGACUAUGCAUACACAGGGCCACACAUAUAGGUCAAGAGAAAAAAUAGCUUCGGGGAUAUUCAGAGAUUUAGCUUUUAGCAAAAGUCAUUUUUCUCCCUUCAGUAAGCCUGUGAUCUUUUAAUAGCCAUUUUCCUUGAUUGCCUUCUAGAUCAUCGUCUGCUGCCAAGUGCCCAAUCUGAACACCCAGACUCUAGGUCUUGGUAGGGGAGGGGGUUGUGGGAUGAUCCUCAGACCAGAAUUCUGUAAACUUUCCCAGACUCAGCCAGCGGCAUCACUCUCCUGCAUUAUAUAAUAAAACAAAGCCUCAAGUUCAGAUUUCA